rnacentral:lncRNA from 13 species
GCCGUCACAGCCACUGUGCCGGGCUCUGGUGUCCUGCUGGGGGCCGUGCGGGUCCUCUGAACCUGUUUACUCUGCUCAGAGAGCUGCCGCGCCGAGGUGCCGGCGGAACCGCUGCGCCGGCCAUGAGAGUCGCGCUGGCCACCCAUGUGUUUCCUCCACUGAGGGAUCUUCUGCUCCAUGACUGCCUGGUGACUCCACCCUGGAAUCCUUGGUCUCUGUCAUCUCACAGGCUCUAGGCUUUUCCUGAACUUCUGGGACUGCCAUUGCCAUGUUCCUUGGAAAAUGAUUUUUCCCGCUGCUUGCCUUUCUGUGUCCAUGUUUGAGCAGGGUUUACGCUCUGGGAAGACACAGCUAUACCAGAUGUUUGUGGCUGCAUGUUACCCCUGACACAUCUGCCCUCUUUGAAAAUUGCAGGAAAGGUAACGACCUAGUUAUACUUAAGUGGGGAAAUCUCAUAGUGACUGGUUUCCCACAGCAGGAGACAUGAUGGAAUAAGUCUGUCC